GAUCACUAAUUCAGCUAUACCACUGCACCAUGAGAACACCAAGGCAUGGCAGCAUUGCAAUAUCAGACCAUUUGGAAUGCAUAUCCGGCCUUCACUUCUCACUGGUUUGGAACUGAACAGCUCACUGAAGCAUGUCUCCAGAUAGCCUGGAGAUCGGUACCUUGGUUUCCGUUCCAACUAUGUUUAGGAUUUGACGACUACAAUAUCAAAUGAACCCACAGUUAAUAGAAUCCUUAUACCUUAAAUAAAACCAACAGGAAAUGAUUAUUUUCAUUCAA